UACAGAGGUCUCAAGCGUUGUUCGGAUUCAUUGGGCGUAAAGGGUGCGUAGGUGGCAUGGUAAGUCGGAUGUGAAAUCCCGGGGCUCAACCCCGGAACUGGCAUUCGAUACUGCUGCGCUAGAGUACUGGAGAGGAGAUUGGAAUUUACGGUGUAGCAGUGAAAUGCGUAGAUAUCGUAAGGAAGACCAGUGGCGAAGGCG
rnacentral:rRNA from 1 species